CCAGACUCCUACGGGAGGCAGCAGUGGGGAAUAUUGCACAAUGGGGGAAACCCUGAUGCAGCAACGCCGCGUGAGUGAGGAAGUAUUUCGGUAUGUAAAGCUCUAUCAGCAGGGAAUAGAAAAGAAGGUACCUGAAAAAGAAGCCCCGGCUAACUACGUGCCAGCAGCCGCGGUAAUACGUAGGGGGCAAGCGUUAUCCGGAUUUACUGGGUGUAAAGGGAGCGUAGACGGAAAGGCAAGUCAGAAGUGAAAGCCCAAGGCUCAACCAUGGGACUGCUUUUGAAACUGGCAAACUGGAGUGUGUGAGAGGAUAGUGGAAUUCCAGGUGUAGGAGUGAAAUCCGUAGAUAUCUGGAGGAACAUCAGUGGCGAAGGCGACUAUCUGGCACAUAACUGACGCUGAGGAGCGAAAGCGUGGGUAGCAAACAGGAUUAGAUACCCGCGUAUG
rnacentral:rRNA from 1 species